GCUCUUGCUGCUCCCUCCAGAGGAGCGCAAGAGCCCUGCGUCACGCUGGCGACUUUGUUCCCGCCCACAAGGGGGAGGUGGGCGGGACAUGGAGCCGAGUGUGGGGGCGGGAGGAAUUUGAGGAAAGAAAUGAGGAUCGGGAAGGGCGCCUGAGAGAAGCGUGCGCCGUGACGUCACGAAACGUUCGUAUAUAAACGGCGACAGGCGCCAUCUCGUUCUUUCAGCGGCUUGACUUGGUCUGCGGUGGCUUGCGGAAGUUAACUUGGGCUUUGUCGUGUUUACGAUCUUGCUCUUUUCCUCUUUGGAGGCGAACUUGUGGCCUUUAAUAUAUGAAAGGCAAGCUUUCUGGCGCUGAGCCAUUUUGUCUUUGGGUUUGGUGAAUCGUCUUGAUUUUUGGGAUCUUGGCCUCUUUUUUGAGGUCACGUAAAACUUGUGUUUCUAGGAAUGAUGCUGUACGGGAGGAAUGUGGCGUUUGAUGGCAUUAUAUGGCCAGUUAAGUGCCAAGGAAAGAUGAGAACUCAAGUCCUAAACAACAAGCCUCCAUCCCUGGGGAUAGAGGUAUCGGAAAGCCAGAAGUUAAAAUGGUGGAGUUUGACUUAACUGGACCAGCUUUACUUGAAUAAUUAUUACACAUCUGGAUGACUUGCUUUGGUCCAGAUUAUGAAGAUUUUUAUAAAGGUACUCUGAGUCACCUUGGCUAUGAUGCAGUGCAAGCAGUGUACAGAAAGCUACAGAAUUAAGGAUUGAAGAUAAGCCAAGCAUGGUGUCUCAUGGCUAUCCUCCCAUCUAGCAAGAUGAUGACUUGAGCCCAAGUUCAAGGACUUUAUGGCAUCAGGUGUACCCUUAGAAAGGUGAGAAUUCAGAAUAGCAGUACUGUUCCUGUUCCAGAAUAUAUGAUGAUCUCAUCUCAACUUGAACUCUCUCACUGAUUAAUUAAUUGAUGAUGAGAAAGAUCUGAUAUUCUGUAUUUCCCAGCUGUUUAUAAGUUGAAGUCUGGAAACUGGACUAAAACUGUAUCUUUAUUGCAGGCAAUCAGAUGGAUGUUCAUUGAAGAGAAGAUUGUAACGUUAAUUUUAAUAAAUUUGUGCAAACUAUCUGGAGAAGUGAAGUGCAUUUUCUGAUGUUGAGGACUGAACCUAGGGAUAUGGGACUACAAAUAAAUGUAUUUAAAAUUAAA